rnacentral:rRNA from 1 species
CCUACGGGAGGCAGCAGUGGGGAAUAUUGCACAAUGGGCGCAAGCCUGAUGCAGCCAUGCCGCGUGUAUGAAGAAGGCCUUCGGGUUGUAAAGUACUUUCACCGGUGAAGAUAAUGACGGUAGUCGGAGAAGAAGCCCCGGCUAACUUCGUGCCAGCAGCCGCGGUAAU